ACCUGGCUGGCUCAGUUGGCAGAGCAUGGGACUUUUGAUCUCAGAGUUGUGAGUUUGAACCCCAUGUUGGGUG
rnacentral:tRNA from 1 species